AUUGAACGCUGGCGGCAUGCCUUACACAUGCAAGUCGAACGGCAGCACGGGUGCUUGCACCUGGUGGCGAGUGGCGAACGGGUGAGUAAUACAUCGGAACAUGUCCUGUAGUGGGGGAUAGCCCGGCGAAAGCCGGAUUAAUACCGCAUACGAUCUACGGAUGAAAGCGGGGGACCUUCGGGCCUCGCGCUAUAGGGUUGGCCGAUGGCUGAUUAGCUAGUUGGUGGGGUAAAGGCCUACCAAGGCGACGAUCAGUAGCUGGUCUGAGAGGACGACCAGCCACACUGGGACUGAGACACGGCCCAGACUCCUACGGGAGGCAGCAGUGGGGAAUUUUGGACAAUGGGCGAAAGCCUGAUCCAGCAAUGCCGCGUGUGUGAAGAAGGCCUUCGGGUUGUAAAGAACUUUUGUCCGGAAAGAAAUCCUUGGCCCUAAUACGGUCGGGGGAUGACGGUACCGGAAGAAUAAGCACCGGCUAACUACGUGC
rnacentral:rRNA from 1 species